UACGGGGGGGGCAAGCGUUGUUCGGAAUUACUGGGCGUAAAGGGCUCGUAGGCGGCCAACUAAGUCAGACGUGAAAUCCCUCGGCUUAACCGGGGAACUGCGUCUGAUACUGGAUGGCUUGAAUCCGGGAGAGGGAUGCGGAAUUCCAGGUGUAGCGGUGAAAUGCGUAGAUAUCUGGAGGAACACCGGUGGCGAAGGCGGCAUCCUGGACCGGCAUUGACGCUGAGGCGCGAAAGCGUGGGUAGCAAACGGG
rnacentral:rRNA from 1 species